AGGAGAGGGUGCUCUGACUGGGACAUCUGAUGGCGAGCAUUGAUUCAGAAUCUGGCUGGCCAGGCGAGUGCCCCCUUCUUCCUCUCGGCUCUAUGUGGAAGGUAGGGGGAAGGGAAUGCUCUUCCCCCACAGAGGAGGACCGUUAUUUGGUCAAGGGUCCACCAGCAGCUGCAUUACCCUGCUAGAGCCUUCCAAACAUGCUCUCAAGAUGGGGCAGUUCAGGGGUGCAAAUAGGCUCUUUGGAAAACAAAAUGAACCCUGUUGCAUCUCCUGCAACCAAAG
rnacentral:snRNA from 1 species